AAAAUAUCCAAGAUGCUGUUCUGCUGUGCGUUUGUCUCAUCAAUUUGUUUCUUAAUGUCUGCCAAUAGAACUCCAUUUUCUCUGUUUAAGUUCUCAGCUUGUUUGGUUUGUCCUGUUGCUUCAUUCAGAGCUUCACGAAGAUCAGUAAGUUUGGAUUCAUACUCAUUCAAUGAAUCCCUCAUAAUUUUAACAAGUCCAUGAUUUUCUUGGUGGUACUUCUGCAGUUCAUUCUUAACACGUGCCAGUAACAGCCGAGCUUCUGUUCUCUCCUUCUCCGCAUCUGUUUGCAGUUGGCCAAAGUUGCGGUUUCUCAUCUCCCUCAUCAUUCUUUGAGCUUCAGCCAGUUCUUUGGCAGCAUCA
rnacentral:lncRNA from 1 species